AUUCAUUCUACCACCAACCAUGUCUCUGGAAGAGGUGUCUGUGGAGGGGAGUGGUCAGCUGCAAGGGAAACGUCUCAGAAAUCCUCAAGUAAAAUUGAUGAGGAGGGACUUGAGCUUGCAGUCUGUCGACAUGGAGUUUUUCUCACCGCUCUCAACAUGUUCAGGGGAGAAAUAUAUGCUUAUCCCCUCUACCUGCAGAACAAGCUGGCAAAUACGCCAAUAAGCUUUUUUGCCAUGGAUGUAACCUGCAAGUACUGGCCUUACCUCAACAAAGUCACAAAAAGCUGCCCGGAGCUCCAGCACCUUCUGAGCAUGAAACCAUUCCUCUCAGUGUUUCAUGCCAAAGCCCAUGAUUUUAAAUGCGAGGUUAAAUGGAGUGGAGCUUACCAGCAAGGGGCCGGAUUGACACUUGGCGAGGAGGUUGAGCAGUGUAACGCCUUCCUCUCUAGGAUUGCUGUGACCACGAAGCACAUGUCCAAAGCAGGUAAGGCCACAAAACGUCUGGAAAGCCAACUUCAGGACCUGGAAAGCAUGAGAAUCCAGCUGGCAGUGACACAGGUUGAAGUUGAGGGCUGGGUCACUGAUAUUAAGGAGUGGGCAGAAGCAACAACAUCCCAAAAGAAUGCCGAUCUUGACGCAGUGAUCAAUAGAAUAGAGGUGCUGGUGGCCAGCAUUAAAAGAAGGUCCCAGCGCCUUUACAAAGACACCGAUGGCAGCAAAGCAUUGGAAAUCUCUCUCCACUCGUGCAGACACACUCAAGGAGAUGUCAUGCCAGCUUUCCAGUGAGGCAUUGAAAAGUGAGCUGUGGGAUCUAAAUGAAGAAGGGAUCAAGGGUUUCCUCAGCUUAACUUUGAGAAAGAAGCAAGAAGUCACCAGAAUGAUGAAGCAUGCAAGAGACUGUUAUGCUAAAGUUUUGACUGGAACAAGUAUGGACUUCCAGAAUGAUUGGGAUGGAUACGACAGUGACUCUGAAUUGUCAGAUGAGUUUUAUGAGCUCUCAAGUGAGAAAUGAGCAUUAAGUCAUUUUUGUUGCAGAGUUUCCUUUUUAUGUUUUAUUUUGUUUAUUUUUUCUCCCACUCUAACAAUGCAGCCCUAUUUCUGAUACCGUAGGGGGUCAGAAAUGUUGCUGUGGG
ensembl:lncRNA